UCAGACUGCAGAAACCUGAACUAAGGCAUCCUGUGACAGAUAACUUCACGACUACACCAAGAGAUUCAUCAGCCUGCAUACACUAACUUGACGCACUGACUAAGAUCUGCUUUUUCACAGAUCAAAAAAGGAGCCAGAGAGUCUUCCUGGUUCUUUAACAACUGGACACAGCAGCCUUGAACCUCUACCAUCUGUUU